rnacentral:lncRNA from 10 species
GGCAGAGCACCAGGUGCAUAGGCUGAGACUGCAGACACCUGAGCAUCCUAUGCUGUGAGGCGAAAGCAUCCGGUUUUUUCGGGAUGGGCCUGUCCAGGAAGGUUCUCGAAUGCCACGUGAUUAGAAAAUUUGCCGCUGACUGGUUGUGCGAAUCAAACAAUAGGAUUUCCUUAUUUCUAUUUCUGAGCAUAAUGAGAACCCUUUAAGGGAACUCAUUGUCUUUAAAUCAGCCAGCCUCUAGUGAGGUCAUGGAGACAUGGGAAGCAGGUAUUCACAUUAGCUCUAUUCAAGAGGAAGAGGAGGAGGGAGUGUGCGCAGGCGCCCUAGGGUCUUCCCCAGCACACGUUGGGAAGAAGGGGUCUGCAAGCAUGCGCACAAUUGCCAGCUCAGGCUAAGGACUGCAGGAGGUUCCAGGUGGGUUGCGGGCUUCGGGCAGGCUAUGGUGAGGGGUCCUGAGGGCCUUGGUGACCGCUGCAGGGAGUUGGACUUUUUGAAGCGUGGCUCAAGAAAAACCCAUGUUUAAUUCCUGCCUUUCGCUUCCUCAGCAGCCUUUCUGGGCCCAGGCAGGGGCCUCGAGCCAGGGAAGGAUCCUUUGAUGACCAGAGGGGACAGCAGGGAGGGCACAGCGUGGUCGUCCACGGUCACUUGCGCACGAGCCAGUGCUGCUGCUGGUGUUAGACAACAACUUUUAUCAAAGUGGUUUAAUGUACAGCAGCAACAAAGCUGCUUUGUGGAGCAGGGCUCCCAAUAGGCAGUGUGCCCAGAGUAGCAGCUCGGAAGCAGUACUGCAAUCACAUUUAUACCCACUUUCAACUAUAUGCAAAUUUAGGGGUGGAUUAUGCCAAAAUUUCUAGAAAAAAGGUCGUAACUUCCAGGUCGUGGGAUUGUUGCUAUGGAAAGGAGCCAAAACUUCCAGCUGUUGCCUUAGCAAUGGUAACCUGACGUGGCACUGGUGAGUGUGUUUUAUGGAGAGACUCUUUCACCUCUUCCCUUUCAGCUUGUCUUCAGUGUGGUCUGGAGCCCAAUCCCCACCUCCAGAGUCUAGUCCUGCCUCCUACCUCAGUAAUAAAAAGUAGUAGUAUAUGGUUAAUUGUCAAAUACAUUUGCAAAGUGUAAUCAAAGAUACAUUACCAAUCUGAAUCUCAAAAUGUGCUAUCAUCUUUGAAUUUGAAUAAUGUAUUAUUAAAGAAGUUACA